UGCUUUGACAGGUCUCCAAGACUCAGUGAGGUUCUCUCUGGUGACUAGGAGGGGGUUCUGGGUUGUCGACACUCAUCAUCCGGCCACCAUCCCACUCAGCUCUGGGAAGUGACCCUCUGGACUGGCCUUUCCCACAGCUCUGGCUGUCAGUGGCCCUGGCAGAGUGGCUCCUGAACAGAUUGGUGCCCCGUGUGAAGAAUUCGUCUCUUUCGGAAGUACGCUGAUGGGCCAAUUGGUCUUUGGAUGAGAGUACCCCUAUAAAUUGGACCAAUUGGUCUUUGGAUUUUACAUCAAGUCCAAUGGCCAUAGACAGAGCAGUCCUAAGAAGAUUUGACCCUAACCUGCCUGUUUCCUUGUAUAUCAUCCCUGGAGAGUUUUAUGCAUGGCACUAGCAGCACAAGAGGGAAUGAUUGCAGAGGUGGCUGCUGCUGCUGCCUUUCCUGGUACUGGUGAUGCUCAUCUCACCCAGUGACAAAAUCAAAAGGCCUCAGGAGGACUUGGAAAGGAGACGUUGGGACCUACAGGAUAACCCUUGUGGACAGGCAUAAGUAGCUUUCUACCCUACCUUCUUCCUCUACUUGGACCUUUGCUUCUCCUCCUCCUCCUUCUCCUUACUGUUGGGCCCUGUCUUUCAAUAAGACCAUACAAUUCAUCUACCCAUGGCUAGAGGCAGUAAAACAUCAUCAGGUCAAAGUACAUUAUCACAGGCUCACUACUCAGAAGUUGAACUCCUAUGAUUGGCCAUCUUCCUAUGAAUGUCCCUCCCCCACCCUCCAUCUGACCAGUGAUGGGUAAGAUCUCAGAUAGGCUGGGACAACCUAAGCCAGAUACAUGGUACUCAAAGAUGGGUAAGAUCUCCAGGUGGGAGACAACCUAAGUCAGGGACCAUACACAAAAACAAAAGGGGAGAUGUUGGGCCUAAAAAGGCCCAGACACAAGACUUAGCGGAAUUUCCUGAGCCUGGCUUGAGUUUGGCGACCUGUCUCAGCAACACUGCCUCUGCCCAGCUACUGCUAACAUGGUGGAAUAUUAUUGGCCCUUACACCUCACCCCAUCCUUUGGUCCCCACCCUCUUUCUCAACCCCAUUUAAACACAUGCCUGUUAAAUAAAGCGAGACUCUGCUUUGACAGGUCUCCAA